UACGUAGGGUGCGAGCGUUGUCCGGAAUUAUUGGGCGUAAAGUGCUUGUAGGCGGUCUGUCGCGUCUGCUGUGAAAAUCCGGGGCUCAACCCCGGACUUGCAGUGGGUACGGGCAGACUAGAGUGUGGUAGGGGAGACUGGAAUUCCUGGUGUAGCGGUGAAAUGCGCAGAUAUCAGGAGGAACACCGAUGGCGAAGGCAGGUCUCUGGGCCACUACUGACGCUGAGAAGCGAAAGCAUGGGGAGCGAACAGG
rnacentral:rRNA from 1 species